rnacentral:rRNA from 1 species
GUUAAGCGACUAAGCGUACACGGUGGAUGCCCUGGCAGUCAGAGGCGAUGAAGGACGUGCUAAUCUGCGAUAAGCGUCGGUGAGGUGAUAUGAACCGUUAUAACCGGCGAUUUCCGAAUGGGGAAACCCAGUGUGUUUCGACACACUAUCAUUAACUGAAUCCAUAGGUUAAUGAGGCGAACCGGGGGAACUGAAACAUCUAAGUACCCCGAGGAAAAGAAAUCAACCGAGAUUCCCCCAGUAGCGGCGAGCGAACGGGGAGGAGCCCAGAGCCUGAAUCAGUGUGUGUGUUAGUGGAAGCGUCUGGAAAGGCGUGCGAUACAGGGUGACAGCCCCGUACACAAAAAUGCACAUAUUGUGAGCUCGAUGAGUAGGGCGGGACACGUGGUAUCCUGUCUGAAUAUGGGGGGACCAUCCUCCAAGGCUAAAUACUCCUGACUGACCGAUAGUGAACCAGUACCGUGAGGGAAAGGCGAAAAGAACCCCGGCGAGGGGAGUGAAAAAGAACCUGAAACCGUGUACGUACAAGCAGUGGGAGCCUCUUAAUGGGGUGACUGCGUACCUUUUGUAUAAUGGGUCAGCGACUUAUAUUCUGUAGCAAGGUUAACCGAAUAGGGGAGCCGAAGGGAAACCGAGUCUUAACUGGGCGUUAAGUUGCAGGGUAUAGACCCGAAACCCGGUGAUCUAGCCAUGGGCAGGUUGAAGGUUGGGUAA